GGGGACCCCAUUGCUGCUGUGGUAGGAAGGGGGUCAGAAGAACAGGCAGGAGCUGGCGGAGAUGCAGCUGGUUAAUGAGCGGGUCUGAGAAGGGACUUUGUUCCCAUCUGUCUGUCACGUAGCUAGGCAGGCAGCAGCAGCGCUCUCUCUGCAUGCAGGGCAACAGCUGGGAAGCCUAAUCCCAGGCCCAUGAAUAGCCCUGAUGACUCAUGAUGUGCAAGCCAGAGCAGACCUUCCCCAGCCCUGCAGGGCUUCAGCCCAGCAUCAGGAAGGCAACUGCCCACAGCUUAGGCAGACAACACCGAGAGAUGCAGAGGAACUUGCGACUGUUCCCCUGUCCUGUUCUGGGAUUUAUCCCUCAAUGCCUGUAAUAACUCUUCUGAUCCACUGGGUUCGUAAAGAAGAUUGCAAAGCCUGGCUCCCUGCAGCUAAAUGUCUCUGGUAUAAACACCAUAUGAGGCUUGUCUACACUUGAAAAUUAAUUCGGAUUAAGGCUUAGUGUAAGUUUGUAGCUAUUCUGGAAUAACUCCAGGUGUAGACAAACCCUAUACCUUGGAGAGAAAUAGGGCCAGUAACAGCUCUCGUAAACCAGCUUCUCCUGAAGCAAAGCCAGAGAAUGCGUUUCGUGCUUUCACUUGUGAAAACAUGCACAUGCAGCAAAAGGCUUGUACUUUGGAAAUACGCUCCCAGGUAGGAUCCUGGGGAUGUGGCUUUGAUUAGAAAUGUCUUUGUACUGGCCAAAUGACUGGGCACCUGACUCAUGCUCGAUGCUCCCCUGUUCGUCUGCUUUAGAGCCAUUUGGAAGCUUCACAGCUCGGGAUGUUGGAAACUAGCUCAGGCAAAGCACUAGAAGAUGUGGUGCAGGAACCAGCCCCAUCCUAGGCUUUGGGCGGGAGGCCAAUCGCUGAAUUUGGGUCUGUGAGGGGGAUGCCUGUUGCUCCCUCUGUUAGGCUCCUGCACGCACCCACCCAACUGGUCACGCACUUCUGUCCAAAAAUGUUUUUGCACACAAAAUCGUUUCCGUUUUUUGUUAAUCUUCUCGGGUGUUACAUGCUGUCCUGAGGAUUGCAGCCAGGAGCCCGCGACCCUGCGUCAUCCAGCAACCGGCUCAGUCACGUGUUCCCUGUCAGGCUUUCUCCAUGCGGGGCCUGGUGACUGGUGCAUGCAUGUUCUGAUGGCUGGCUCUGCUUUACGUGCAAGCGGAAGGUGCGCUCGACACCAUACCGGACCAUUUCUGGAAACACAGAUCGUGUUGGCCAUGAGCAGGAGCAGCGCUCGUGCCCCGUGCUGGCUGUGUACGGCCAGGCUUCGUUCUGUGCAAUGCUGCCUGACACAGGUAGCAGCCUGGGCAUGUGGCCCGUGUCUGCCCCUCGCCUCUGGAGGUGGCGGGGGAGUUACAGGGAGGCUCAGCCCUUUGCACCGCUACGGUUCUGAGCAGAUCCUAACCUAUGGGGUUUCCCC